UUAUAUAGGAUGAAAAAAGCUAUAGAAAGAAGAGAGUUAAUAGUAUUAAAGUACUAGUAAAUCAAAUGUUAUCGAUACUAGUUUUUUCCAUUUGGAACAGAUAUGUUGGUUUAUCUGAUUUUAAACAUACUUCUCUAUUCAUUGAAUUACACAAAACGCUUUAAGGAAGCAUUAACUCCACAAUUGUGAACAACUCUCACAACAAUAAUAUACUUCAUUUUUUUGUUG
rnacentral:lncRNA from 1 species